UACGUAGGGGGCAAGCGUUGUCCGGAUUUAUUGGGCGUAAAGAGCUCGGUAGGCGGCUCGGUAAGUCGGGGUGUGAAACCUCCAGGCUCAACCUGGAGACGCCACCCGAUACUGCUGUGGCUAGAGUCCGGUAGGGGAGCGUGGAAUUCCUGGUGUAGCGGUGAAAUGCGCAGAUAUCAGGAGGAACACCAGCGGCGAAGGCGGCGCUCUGGGCCGGAACUGACGCUGAGGAGCGAAAGCGUGGGUAGCAAACAGG
rnacentral:rRNA from 1 species